UAUUAACGGAAGGAUCAUUGACCAAAACAAUUAUCGAGUUGAGGGAGUUUAGCCCGAAUUUUUCGAGUAAAGGAGUUAAACCAUAACAAAUGUAAAAAUUUAAGAAGUUUGGGCGCAAAUUGCCCUUAAUGCCAAAUAACUUCAAGGCACACACCCAAAUAAUACAAACCCAAAUUCACAUACCCCUAAUCCAUCCCCAUUUCAAUCCACCCUACCCUACCAAACAAAGCAUAAGUGCAGAGUUUUCCCCCUUUCUUUCUCUUGACUCUGAAGAAAUCCAAACACACCAAAAACCAACCAACCACGCACGGUUCGUUGUCAUUUCCCCUCUCUCUCUUCUCUCUCUUCUCUCUCUUUCGUUCGGAUUGACAUCUACAUUUUUCUUGAAUAAUUAAUAUUUAGGAAACCCAACACAAAUUUCAUCUUGUCUAAUUGUAUAGAUUGUUAUAUUUCACUCUAUGAAUUUGGGAUGUGGAAAUAAGUGAAGUGGUCCCAGUUAGUGUUUUCUGUGAUGCUUACCCUUACUUGCAAUUUUUUUGUUCAGGAUCAUAUUACUAUUUACUUUGGCUCCAACUACGUACUCUACUUUUAGAGGGAGCGUUCAUUUUCAAUCUCGUUAUACUUUUAGAGGGUUUCUUCUAAUAUGCAACUUAUUUUCUUCUUUCUCUUUAGGUUCCCUUUUCCAAUGUAGUGUAUAUAGAACGCUCCGAAAAGAUUUUCGGAUGAAGAUUCAAAAGAUUACUACCACAUUACUAGUGUCUCUCUGUUAUUUAUUCGAGGAUUUGUUGUAGACUUUGUCCUAAUACUUCUUCAUGUUGGGUUCAGAUACGCUUUCCCUAUCAAAUGCACGGAUGUUAUCCUAAGGAGACUGUUCUUGAAGUUCGGGCCGAGUAUGAUCCAUCUAAGAAGACAAAGCCAAAGAAUCCUGGUGAACUUGAAGACUGGCUUGCUGAUCUGAACCCGCAAUCCAAGACGGUUACACCCAAUGCAUACGCUGUUUAAUUAAUUUGCAUGAUAUAAUUGCAGUUGGCCAAAACUAUAAUUGAAGGUGUUUGAUCCAAAGUUUAACCAUGUGGUGUAGGGUAUUUUGUGGUCGAUAAGGAUUCAACUCCGGAGAAGCCUGUCUUUAAUCCGACGGUGACACUUAGAGACAGCUACAAUAAGAGUGGAAAGUUCUUUUUUCUUUUCUGUUUGUAUAAGAUGUUGUAAGAAAGCAUUCACAAAUUCUACUUGAGUCUCAUAUAGAUUUGAGUAAUCAACUACUAAUUGUAAUGGUUUGCUAAGUUUUUGAGAAGUUUAGUGAGUCCCCAUGUCCUCACUAAACUUUUGGAAAAGUUCCUGUUGAAUGAAGUGUUUGGUCUUUAGCAAAAAAGAAAACUACUACUGGAUAGCAUAGACUUGCUACCACUGUAAUUCCAAAUUCGAUAGCAUAAACCUUGCAAAUUCAGAAGGGAAGACUUGCUUUUAGGGCAAGUCCCAAAAGAUGAAAUAUCCCUCUGGACGCUCUCGGAGCACUGGUACGAGUAUGUGUUCGACUGUGAGUGGACAAUAAAGCCAAAUUCGAUAGAAUCGUGAUCCAAAGUAUGGCUCCACAUAAGGCUCCACUACAAGUACUGCUUGUGCUAAUGGUCGGGUGGAAUGGGGCUGUUGGCGCACAAAUAUCCUGGGAAUCGGGAGGAAAUCGGCCAUGUUAAUUGGCGGCACCAGAUAGUAGGGGUGUGGCGGUGGGAAAUGGCGGUACGACCCAGAGUGGGCAAAUGUGGUCAAAUGCUCAAAAGUUGAGACGGGCGGCGUAUCCAUUUUUUAGACCUGUUUUUGUUUGAAAAAGAGAAACACAAUCAAUAAAUAUAUCCAAACAAUUAAUGAAAGAAACUGGACUAAAAAAAAAUUUGCAUGCAAAGUUUCGUGCUAAGAUUGAUUGGGGUAUUGUUUAUAACACACAAGACAAAAACACAACAUCUAACAGAAUUGCAUGAGUGCUGGUAGAUUGUUAGGGACUUAUUUUUACUUAUUUGUCCUUACACCGUGAGCCUCUCCUUCCCUUUCCUCAUUAUAUGUAUAUAUAUAUAUACUCUGUUCACCUAUAUUUCUAAUUCAAUCAAUACAUUUGCUAUUCUCUCAA